rnacentral:tRNA from 1 species
CGGUAGCUCAGAGGUAGAGUGUUGGGCUCAUAACCCAAAGGUCUGUGGAUCGAAACC